CAGGGGACCACAUACAGACCAUUAGCUGCCACCUGUAACUGAGAUGCAUUGUGUACACAGGAGCCCAACUGGGCCCGGAGUGACUCCUGCGUGAUUAACUUAGUCAUAUGUAUGUUAAUUAGACUGACUGUACAUACACUGCAGUGCCUAUAAAUACAUGUGCCGUGUUUUUUUCUAUUAUGCGUAUGAACAGUGAUUUAACUCUGAUUGGAUCAGUCACUGCAGCAUGCACUAAUAAUUAAUGUAUAGCCAUGUGUAGUGGAGCUGCUACAGAAUUUACAGGAUACGAACACACACACAGGAUAUGGCUCCUAUAUUACUGGCUGCACAGCGGAGUGUACAACAGCUCUUCUUACUGCUCAGCCAAAUAUAUCUUUUUCUUCCUACAUCCAGUGGCGUGGACUAUUUAUAUCCUCAUUCAAUAUACAUAAGCAAUUUUUUGUCAUAGUGGUACAUGAAUGAAUGAAUUAGGCCGGCCCUUCCAAAGUAGUCCGCCUAUGUUGUCAGGCACACCCAGAUAAAGGCUCUAGACAUUGUGCAUUUCCGUAAUGGCUGGGUCAAUGGAUAAAUAAGAAUGUGAUUCUGCCAGCCAUAAGCAGGUCAUGUGGGUCAACCACAAGUAGCUGUGGGUUUCGGCUGUUAUGGUGAAGGUGGAUGGGCGGGAUGUGGCCUCGAAUCCUUGUUUGCAAGAGUCUUCUGCGGGCCGCCCACCAAAAUGCAAUCUCCACUGUAUUUUUUAUCUGCUCUUUCGAUGUUGGAAUAUCCAAUUACCAAUACGCAGACCAGUGCAUUCUGGUAGUUUGAGUGGGUUAACAGAUUUUUUGCUACCUUGGUAAAGACAGAAGGCAGAGAGGAAACCGUUUGGAGCACUGUGAAAAACAGUUUUCCGUGUGUGAUGCAAGCUGGGAAUUUUAAUGUUCCAACAAUGCUUUUGCAGUUUUGAACUCAGAGGUUUUCAUAAUGUUACAAAUGAUUGAACUCAACACAGGGUGUAGGUAGCAAACAAUAUUGUUUACCACUGCUACCAUUCUAAUGUUCUUCUGCAAAACAUUGAAUUCUUUGCAGGAUUUGAGAGGCAAUAAACACUGAAUAAUGCUUUCUUUGUUUAUGUUCUUUUACAGGUUUUGGUAGCUUCCAUGGUGCAACAUACAGCUGUCUCAGUAACCAAAAGGAACCACUUCAGUCCCUGCAAUGGCUUGUGUUACAAAAUGGUCAUUUUAAAGAAGAAAUAAUGAAAACACGGACACACAAAGAAUCGAUGCCCAUGCGCAGUGGGCGACGGCGGGGGGCGAGUGAGGAAAGGAGGGGGAGACGCCCGCACACCAGCCCCACUCGCCCUGAACGCAACGAUAGACAGACGCAAAGAGCUGCUGGUGAGGAAUUGGCUGGAAAUCGCUUCAGUCGCAGAUCACAAGGGCGUGAUUCUUCAGAGAGUGAGGGGGAGGAACUUGUGUCUCCUCCUAAGAGGCAGAAAGUUCAGGAUUCGGCCUCUACCCCAAACCCACCAACAUCAACGGACAGCUCGGCUCCUUCCACUGUCCCACCUCCAACCUCAGUCGCCAGCCAAUCCCGCGAGAGUGACAAUGAAGAUGGCCAAUCCCAGGGCAGUAGAAGUUCAGUUGUAGGGAGCCUGGCCAAUAGUAGCAGCAGUCUGAGCAGUGGGCGGGAUAUAGACCAGGACAACCGCUCCUCGUCCCCAAGUCUCUCCGCUUCUCCUUUGGGUAGCUUGGACUCUGACUCCGAUGGAUCCGACUCACCAAAGCAAGGAGAGAGGGAAAGAGAGAAAGGCAAGGAGGGGGGGUUGGGGAAG
ensembl:lncRNA